rnacentral:hammerhead_ribozyme from 1 species
ACCCAGAUGAUGAGUCCAAAAUAAAACGAAAUGCGCAUCCUGAAU